UACGUAGGUCCCGAGCGUUGUCCGGAUUUAUUGGGUUUAAAGGGUGCGUAGGCGGAUCGUUAAGUCAGUGGUCAAAUUGAGGGGCUCAACCCCUUCCCGCCAUUGAAACUGGCGCUCUUGAGUGGAAGAGAAGUAUGCGGAAUGCGUGGUGUAGCGGUGAAAUGCAUAGAUAUCACGCAGAACCCCGAUUGCGAAGGCAGCAUGCCGGCUUCCGACUGACGCUGAAGCACGAAAGCGUGGGGAUCGAACAGG
rnacentral:rRNA from 1 species